ACCGAUAUGGCGACCGAAGGGGAUGUGGAGCUGGAGUUGGAGACUGAGACCAGCGGCCCAGAGCGGCCUCCCGAGAAGCCACGGAAACAUGACAGUGGUGCGGCGGACCUCGAGCGGGUCACCGACUAUGCGGAGGAGAAGGAGAUCCAGAGUUCCAAUCUGGAAACGGCCAUGUCUGUUAUUGGAGACAGACGGUCCCGUGAGCAGAAAGCCAAACAGGAGCGGUAAGUCUUCAGCGCACAGCCAGCCUUAAAUUUCUCCCCGCUCCACCCCAGACAACAAUAAAAACCAUUUUUA